rnacentral:misc_RNA from 1 species
UCGCGGCUUAUCACCGGCAGUCCCCUUAGAGUGCCCAACCAAAUGAUGGCAACUAAGGGCGAGGGUUGCACUCGUUGCGGGACUUAACCCAACAUCUCACGACACGAGCUGACGACAGCCAUGCAGCACCUGUCUCCGCGCCCCUUGCGGGGACCGCCCAUCUCUGAGCGUGGCACGGGAUGUCAAACCCUGGUAAGGUUCUGCGCGUUGCGUCGAAUUAAACCACAUGCUCCACCGCUUGUGCGGGCCCCCGUCAAUUCCUUUGAGUUUCAACCUUGCGGCCGUGCUCCCCAGGCGGGGCGCUUAAUGCGUUAGCUGCGGCACGGAAGGAGUCGAUGACCUCCCACACCUAGCGCCCAUCGUUUACGGCGUGGACUAC